AUUGAACGCUGGCGGCAUGCUUUACACAUGCAAGUCGAACGGUAACAGGCCGCAAGGUGCUGACGAGUGGCGAACGGGUGAGUAAUGCAUCGGAACGUGCCCAGUCGUGGGGGAUAACUACUCGAAAGAGUAGCUAAUACCGCAUACGAUCUAUGGAUGAAAGCGGGGGACCGUAAGGCCUCGCGCGAUUGGAGCGGCCGAUGUCAGAUUAGGUAGUUGGUGGGGUAAAGGCUCACCAAGCCAACGAUCUGUAGCUGGUCUGAGAGGGCGACCAGCCACACUGGGACUGAGACACGGCCCAGACUCCUACGGGAGGCAGCAGUGGGGAAUUUUGGACAAAGGGCGCAAGCCUGAUCCAGCAAUGCCGCGUGCAGGAAGAGGGCCUUCGGGUUGUAAACUGCUUUUGUACGGAACGAAACGGCUCUGGUUAAUACCCGGGGCUAAUGACGGUACCGUAAGAAUAAGCACCGGCUAACUACGUG
rnacentral:rRNA from 1 species